rnacentral:tRNA from 1 species
GGCCCUGGUAGCUUAGGCCAAAGCGCCACCCUCAGAAGGCGGAGACCGAGGUUGGACUCCUCGACGGGGCCA